UCAAAGAAGAAAGGAAGUGGCUCUGAUGAAGACCGCAGAUCGCCUACUCACAAACAAAUUGAAGAGAAAGAGGAGGCUAAGGAUGAAGAUGAUGAUGAUGAUGAUGGUGUGCAAUGGCUGACAGAUACGUCACUUGAUGCUUCUCGUCAACGUAUCAAAGAACAGUUAAGUGCCGUGACAGCUGAUAUGGUUAUGCUUACUACUGAUGAACCAGAGAAGAAGAAAAAAGCAGCAAGUA
rnacentral:lncRNA from 1 species